rnacentral:rRNA from 1 species
AUUGAACGCUGGCGGAAUGCUUUACACAUGCAAGUCGAACGGUAGAGGGGGCAACCCCUCGAGAGUGGCGAACGGGUGAGUAAUAUAUCGGAACGUGCCCAGUCGUGGGGGAUAACGUAGCGAAAGUUACGCUAAUACCGCAUACGAUCUAAGGAUGAAAGCGGGGGAUCGCAAGACCUCGCGCGAUUGGAGCGGCCGAUAUCAGAUUAGGUAGUUGGUGGGGUAAAGGCUCACCAAGCCAACGAUCUGUAGCUGGUCUGAGAGGACGACCAGCCACACUGGAACUGAGACACGGUCCAGACUCCUACGGGAGGCAGCAGUGGGGAAUUUUGGACAAUGGACGCAAGUCUGAUCCAGCCAUUCCGCGUGCAGGAUGAAGGCCCUCGGGUUGUAAACUGCUUUUGUACGGAACGAAAAGGUCUCUCUUAAUACGGGGGACUCAUGACGGUACCGUAAGAAUAAGCACCGGCUAACUACGUGCCAGCAGCCGCAGUAA